GAGCGAUACUUACUUGUCCAACUGGAGGAGGCUCCUCUCACUUGUCAUGCUGGACUCAAGUGGCUCCUGGCUGUCCCCAAAACUCAGGUUCACUCAUCAUGGCAGGGAGCUUUGGCUCUGUCCAGGAUCGCCAGAAGCCUGAGCUGCUAGCUCAAAGAUUGGCCCACAGCAGGAAUUUCCCAAAGUGUUGGGGGCCUCAUGGAAUGAUUACUUUGAAAUGGACUACACGCGGUUAGAUGACCUAUCUGCCAGAUUCACGAACAACCUGACCCAAUGCAGGCAAAUGCAGAGGAUGUCCCAUAACUGUCCCACUUCCUGGGAACCCUUCUUUGUGGCCAGACAGGGUUUAGUGCAGAGAGACAGAGAAGAGCCAGGUGUCCCCUGGCCCAAUGCUUCCGGGAAGCGUCUUGGCCUUCCCACCUCUGAGAACAUUCAGGCCUUUGAGAUGUGGCCCCUGCCUGCCCCAGUACCCCCGGCCCGACAAUGGGGGCUUCAGAGGAGCCUGGAUGGCAGGACACAGCCCCCUCUGUGAAGCGGAGUUGACCGCCAAGCUGGAGGUCUUCGUGGAUUUAUCAGGGAGAAGCAUGGCUGACUAAAGGAAUUCUGGCACCACGUGACAACCAUCUUCCUCAUCAAGAUUGGUGUCCUGGGAAGUGGCUAUCCCUGACCUUCCGGCAGAAUGAGGAGAAAAGUCUGAACCAGGCAGUUUACCUUCCCCCGGUAGCACUCCUCUCAGGCCAUGGAGAAUAACAAUAGCUAACAUUAACUGAGCUUUUGCUAGGGGCCAGAACUUUGCGUGCAUUAUCUCAUUUAAUCCUUGUACUAAGAGGUAAGUACCAUUACUAUUGCCAAAAGAGGAAACAGAAGCUUAGUAUGGUUAAGUGAUUUGCUCAAUGGCUGGAAGAGAUGAAGUAACCCACCUCAAGGUUGUUCAGGUAGUUUGCAGUAGAGUCAGGAUUUGAACCCAAGCAGUCUAAAUCCCGAGAUUCAUUUCACCAAAAACAGAAACCAGAGAAUAGAAUCCUGAUCCCUGCAGCAGGUCAGCUGAGCCAGGACCAAUUCAUUGCUUGAUUCCUACAAAGGAUUCUUGCUGAUGAAGGUAACAAGGAAGAUAGAAAGAGGAGAUUGAUAACAGUGAGGAAGAACAUGUUGAUGAAUAGGUGACUAGGAAAUUCCUACCUAGGAAUCAUUGAGUUGUUCAUUCAUUAAUCCGUCAUCCAUCUCGGGAACUCUGUUGAGUGGCCAUAGAGUGUAAAUAACAUGAGCUCUGGAGCCUGACAGACUGAGUUCAAAUCCCAGUUCUGCCAUGAUUUCCUGUGUGACCUUGGGCACGUUGCUUCACUUCUCUGAGCCUCAGACGUCUCAUCAAUAAAGUGAGGAUAAUAAAUUAUCUAUCUUGUAGGGCUGCUGUGAGAAUACAUGUUAUAAUACAUAGGAAGUGGUUUGUAUGUUGCCUAGUACAGAAUGAACACUCAAUGAACGUUAGCUAUUAUUAUUAUUAUUACUUCUACUUCUGUCCAGGUGCUGGGCUAAGGUACCAGAGUUACAAAGAUGAAUGGGACUGCCUCUCUGAUUGAAGAGAUUAGUGGAAGAGAUAGAGAUAGAC
rnacentral:lncRNA from 10 species